GUUAAGGACUAGGACCUUUAAAAAGCUGCCAGUGGAAGGAAUAUUGAAAUACAUCUUUGGCGAGAACAGAUCAAAUCAAAGUAGCUGUUGCGAUAGGACCACAGUCAGCAUCUUGUCUGGGAGGGUUAGUAGAAGAACAAUCAUCAGUUCAGUCAUCUUUGAUAGCAAGUUGGAAAAGAAUACUGUUACUUUAAAAAAAAAUAAA
rnacentral:lncRNA from 1 species